rnacentral:rRNA from 1 species
GAUGAACGCUGGCGGCGUGCCUAAUACAUGCAAGUCGAGCGAACGGACGAGAAGCUUGCUUCUCUGAUGUUAGCGGCGGACGGGUGAGUAACACGUGGAUAACCUACCUAUAAGACUGGGAUAACUUCGGGAAACCGGAGCUAAUACCGGAUAAUAUUUUGAACCGCAUGGUUCAAAAGUGAAAGACGGUCUUGCUGUCACUUAUAGAUGGAUCCGCGCUGCAUUAGCUAGUUGGUAAGGUAACGGCUUACCAAGGCAACGAUGCAUAGCCGACCUGAGAGGGUGAUCGGCCACACUGGAACUGAGACACGGUCCAGACUCCUACGGGAGGCAGCAGUAGGGAAUCUUCCGCAAUGGGCGAAAGCCUGACGGAGCAACGCCGCGUGAGUGAUGAAGGUCUUCGGAUCGUAAAACUCUGUUAUUAGGGAAGAACAUAUGUGUAAGUAACUGUGCACAUCUUGACGGUACCUAAUCAGAAAGCCACGGCUAACUACGUGCCAGCAGCCGCGGUAAUACGUAGGUGGCAAGCGUUAUCCGGAAUUAUUGGGCGUAAAGCGCGCGUAGGCGGUUUUUUAAGUCUGAUGUGAAAGCCCACGGCUCAACCGUGGAGGGUCAUUGGAAACUGGAAAACUUGAGUGCAGAAGAGGAAAGUGGAAUUCCAUGUGUAGCGGUGAAAUGCGCAGAGAUAUGGAGGAACACCAGUGGCGAAGGCGACUUUCUGGUCUGUAACUGACGCUGAUGUGCGAAAGCGUGGGGAUCAAACAGGAUUAGAUACCCUGGUAGUCCACGCCGUAAACGAUGAGUGCUAAGUGUUAGGGGGUUUCCGCCCCUUAGUGCUGCAGCUAACGCAUUAAGCACUCCGCCUGGGGAGUACGACCGCAAGGUUGAAACUCAAAGGAAUUGACGGGGACCCGCACAAGCGGUGGAGCAUGUGGUUUAAUUCGAAGCAACGCGAAGAACCUUACCAAAUCUUGACAUCCUUUGACAACUCUAGAGAUAGAGCUUUCCCCUUCGGGGGACAAAGUGACAGGUGGUGCAUGGUUGUCGUCAGCUCGUGUCGUGAGAUGUUGGGUUAAGUCCCGCAACGAGCGCAACCCUUAAGCUUAGUUGCCAUCAUUAAGUUGGGCACUCUAAGUUGACUGCCGGUGACAAACCGGAGGAAGGUGGGGAUGACGUCAAAUCAUCAUGCCCCUUAUGAUUUGGGCUACGCACGUGCUACAAUGGACAAUACAAAGGGCAGCGAAACCGCGAGGUCAAGCAAAUCCCAUAAAGUUGUUCUCAGUUCGGAUUGUAGUCUGCAACUCGACUACAUGAAGCUGGAAUCGCUAGUAAUCGUAGAUCAGCAUGCUACGGUGAAUACGUUCCCGGGUCU